GGAAAACUGAAGUGUUCUACCCAUAGAAAUAUUGAAUUGCUAUAUCCCUAUUCCCAGCCAUUUAUUGGGGGGGACAUUUUGGGCAUAUCUGAACAUUGGGGGGGACUUGUACCCCCCAAUGUAUAUGGCCGCUACGCCUAUGUCUCACGGUGACAUAGAGCCCUCACACAUGUCUGUAAGACCAAUACUUCCUUGUUUACAAGCCUUACAAGCCAAUGAGGUGAUCACUAUCAAAACGGGCCAUGUAUACUUUGAUUGACAGCUACACCAGCAGACAGCAAGGGUCAGGGAUGGGCCUUAGAUCAGUGAUUUUCAACCUUUUUUGAGCCGUGGCACACUUUUUACGUUUACAAAAUCCUGGGGCACAUCACCAACCAAAAUGACUCAAAAUGACACUCUAACACAGUACAUAUAAUACAUAUUGUAGUGGCGAUUUGUCCUCAAUAAAACAAUAACUUGAAAAUUAAGAAAUCAAACAAAGCUACGUAAUCAAAAUAGCCAUUGAGGCACCAGGGGGGACGAAUCUUACGCAGUGCAGGGGAAAUAGUCAACUGUCCAGUCGUGAAUUUAGAUUUCUGCAGGUUUACUUUCCGAUCUUCCAAGCAAACAAAACAAAUGUGCAACAGUGUGAACCAGCAGCCUCACUCCUUUGUCUCUCUCGUACAGCUGGUAAAAAACCAUGACCCUUCCCAGUGCCUGUCUUACCUAUGCCCGCCACCUCUAUAUAUAGGCUAGUAAUAACUUCAAAACAAAAGCAUAAACAAACUCAAAUUAACUAAUUUAUAAUGCAAACACAAAAGUCAUAUUAUUUUAUCUUAAGCAAACAAACUAAAUAAAUGUUUUACAAUUAAAUCUAAGAACUGCAUAGCUCCAACACAUAUAGUUAAUAAUAUAGUUUCUAAUUGUAUUUAUACUCACUUAGUGUGAAACCUGGGUCUGUUUCGAUGAACACAAAAUGGAUAUCCUGGCAGGAAUGGCAGAAAGACGCACACGAAGCUCUUCCUCAACAGCUCUCAGUCUCUCUCUGUUUUAAUGUUUAAUUACCAUUAGGGCUGGCCCGAAUGCCCUUUUUCGAAUACUCGUUCCAGAAAAAAACACCAUCAAAAACAACAUUAAUAAUCCCUAUAUACUCCCUGGAACCGAUUUUGACAGUAUCUGUCCAAAUCUGUUAUAUUAGUUAAUUAGUAGGCCUAAGUAGGUUGAAGUUCUAUAGUUUUUCCCCGUGAAAGCGAACAGCUGUUGUUCCGUUCCAAAUCAGCUGUCCUCUGCCAUCUCAGCCCUUACGGGAGCUUUUCAAUUCAUCCUGGAACGUGCAUCUUUUCAGGGAAUUUGUACAAUAAAUCCAUAACAAAUACAGAAUAUUGAUUGCCUUAUGUGUCCAUAUUAUAUCCAUUAUAUUGAUUAGCAUUUCGUCAAGUAUUACUUUUCCUCCCGAGAUCCCGCUAAUGUUGUUAUAAAGUAAAGGGAAACAAGAUAUCUAUUCUUCCUCCACCUCUUGCUUCUCUGCUUGGUGUCGCUGAUGCUCAGAGUUUGCCUCCCUCGCUCUUGUAGCGUCACGUACAUGGAAAAAAAACAAUGAAGCUCCGAAUACUGAUUUAAGCUUCGAAUACUAAUUUUCCGAGUAGCCGUUAGCUGUAAAAAUCCAUAGAUAAACCGCACCGUUAUAUAAGCCGCAGAAUCGAAAAAUGGGAAAAAAGGCGCGGCUUAUAGUCCGAAAAUUACGGUACAUUAUCUGCAACACUUUAUUACAGCACAGACACCCGACAAUGGUUAAUUAGGUGAUAUUAGAAAAUUUCCCACGGCACACCUGACGAUCUCUCGGCACACUAGUUCAAAAUCACUGCCUUAGAUAUCCUAAUAGCCUAUGAAAAUACCUUUCUGACGAUAUCCAGCAUUUCAAACACCAUCUCACGUGUGGUUGAGAAAACAAAUGCACAAGGGGUGUGCGUAAACGAGCAGGCUCUUCCCCAGAGUGUGAGUGUGAAGCAUGCUCCUGUGUGGUUUUAUUUUUAUUAACUUUUGUGAGUUUGGAUUUAUGAACAUUUUGAAAGAUGCCUAAACGCCCGGAGAAGAAAGGAGGGGGAGGGAGGGAGGGAGGGAAUCAUGUAAAUAGUUAUUUUUGUUUAUUUUCACAUUGUUAUUGUAAUUUUACUUAUUUUUGUUUAUUUGUACAUGAUUAUUCAUAGUAUUUUUACUAUUUCAGUUUUGUGUUCAUACCAUUGCAGUUUUCACUUUUUAAGUAAAAAUAAUAGCCAAAACACUUUGUUUGAGCUUUUUUUUGUCCGUUGUGGCUCUGCGUGUAACCACAGCGUGUAACCAUUCAGAUGGUGCUGUGGGUUGGACAAUGCUGGAGACGGCGUAGUGACAGCAGACAGAGGCGCGGCUGCAUCAGAGCCAAAAUAACCCCGUUUUAAAUUGAUCUCUUAUCGGCCAUCGGAUAAAAAAAAAAAAGGCUGUCGAUAUCCGUCAAAAUAUCGGUGCCAAUAAUCGGCCCGGCCGAUAAUCGGUCGAUCCCUACUCUAGGCCAUCUGUACUAGGGAUCCACCGAAAUGAAAAUUCUUGGCCGAAACCGAAACAGAAACAGUUGACCGAUACCGAAAAUUAUGUUUUGGGCCAUUUUCGGCCGAACAUUUUCGGUGGACGUAUAUACGGGGCAUCCCUAAUCGGUACCGUGCCCAAGUCCGUUUCACAACUGUACCGUGCUCAAGUCUAGAUCGUUUGGCUUGUGUGAGCAUGCCAACCGUACUCAAGUCCACUUCAAUUCCGUGGCCUGAGCACACUUGGGAGAGGUGUGCUCAGGCCAUGGUACAGUUGCUAAUGAGUCAACACACUCACGGCUACGCAACCUGAACUGGAUGACGUAUAGUCCAUGCGACCCUUCUUUCCCAUUAAUCAAUAAACAUGACGGCAAGAGGUUCACGUUGGUGCGAUAGUGAAGUUGAGUUUUUGAUAGAAAAUACCCCGUUCGUCACAGUGCGGGCUUUCAUGGUUCACUGGAGAAGGCAGGGCUGUGCAAGGAGUCUAGACCUCUUUAGAAUAAUUUGCACACUUGCAAAUGUUAUUAUUCUUUUUAGUACUGUCAGUUUAACGUGUUAACGGCGUUAACGCAAACCAAUUUUAACGGCGUUAAUUUUUUUUAUCGCAUGAUUAACGCUCACCUGCUGUCUUGCAACAACUAGUCACGUUAGAAAAACUACAACAACAACAAAACAACAAGCAUGCCGUACAAACCUUUGGGGCAAGCAAGGAUACGGAGCGGGUUAAAAACUCCUUCAAAGUGUGUGUGUGUGACUGUUUCUGUGUUCCUGUGUCCAUCUGUUCGAGACUGCACGAGAGUUCGAUGUUGUCAUUAGCUGUUACGUCCUUCUGUCCGAAUUGAAACAAAUAAAAGCCUGGGCUAUUGAGGUUUUACGGUAGGCCUACCACUGUCGUGCACCUACCCGAUGUCAAGUGGACCGGGUUGAAUUCACUGCGGGUCUCUCUUACUGUCCUUCUCAACACUCUGAUCUCACUAAAAGGCUAGCAUGAAAUCCAGGGAUAUUUAGAAUAGGAAAAAACGUGCGAUUAAUCGCGAGUUAACUAUGACAUUAAUGCGAUUCAUCUCGAUUAAAUAUUUGAAUCACUUGACAGCACAAAUUUUUUUAUGAAUGAAGACACCCGCAUGCAAGAAUAAGUUCACGUCUGGGUGUAGGCUACAAACGCGACUAACUAUUUACUAUUUUAUAAGUGCAAAUCGCCAAAAUAUUCUUUAUUUUGCUGACCACUUGUUUUUUAUCCAGACAAGCCUCGUAAGGACAGUUCCUCUGCGACUCUCUCGUAGAUCGCACCAUCUUUCAACGUCUGUGUAAUAUGACCUUCUCACAUGAUCAUCAGCUCGCUUAUUUCACUCUCUCAAGUUAGAAGUUAACUGCUCAUGAUCAUAUCGCUGCGUUGCCUCUGUGGAGACAGCGCAGCAACACCACUAUCAGAUCCCCCCCCUCCCUGCAAUCGCGGAGCCGUCGCAUUUACAACAGAAUAAAACCCAAUAAACCACCAAUGUGUGCAGUGUCCGGGAGGGUAAAUCGGGUUUCUAGCUCAAGCAGGCAAUUUACGCUUGGUGGUGACGUGUUACGACGUGAUGACGUAUCUACAAGAGGCAACCGUACUUGGGCCCAGUUGGGAUUGCCUAGUGUGAGCACAGGAAAGCGCACAGCGGGGGGGCAGCCAUCGUACUUGAGCACGGUACAGGUGUGAAACGGACUUGGCCACGGUACAGAUGGCCUAUUGUGAGUGCGCCCUAAUUGGCUUUGCAUCUUUUCCUCCAGCCCUUGUAGUCCAAGACAUGCUGCCCACCAGCUUUCAAAGUACAAUGCUGCCAUUGGUGUAUUUGUAUCAAUUCACAUAAUUAUCCCUCCCUGCUAUUUUGUAGUUCCCCAAAACAACCUGAAACGACUUGAGUCUCGCAUACCUAUGCAGGCCUCGACAUUAACGGUUGCCCGCUUGCCCGGGGCAACAAAAAGUCAUAUUUGGGCAAGUUGAGAUUGAUUUCUGGUUGCCCGAACGGGCAAGUGGAUUUUGGGUGGAUGUUAAUAUAAAGGCUAUUUAUUCAAAUGUUAUAACACAAAAUAUAAGUAUUUGCAAUUGAUCAGCGCGCCGUCUUCUCUUCUCUCUGAAAGCGAGUUAACAGACACGCAUCGCUUCAGUGCGAAUAUAGCCCCGCCUUCUGUCACUCGCAGUGCGUUCUCUGGCCGUGAUUCGAAGGUGUUGGCUAAAGGUUAGCCAACAAAGCUAGCAUCGCAAGUGCAGCGCCUCCGCGAACGGUUUAGGUAGAAGGAAAAUGGAGUAGUGAUGGAGGAGUGCAGUUUGGAAGUACUUUGGAUUGAGGCAAAUUACCAAGGAAAGUCAUAUGCACAGCAAUAGCGAUCUUUUUCACGAAAUUGGACCCUCACAAACUAUAUAUUACAUGAAAGCUGAGCCUCCACUUAUUCCAACAGUCCAAACCAUAUCAUUCUGUGACUAAAACUCGCAAAUAACAACUUAAGAAGAAACGUCCCCUUGUAGUGCCGGAGGAAAAGGAGGACGUAGGCAACUUAAUUAUAACUAUUUAUUCCAAUAAAGCAGAACAGAACAAUCAGUCACAGUGCAUGGUUCGUACUCUCUUGCAACACUCUCAAGCGUCCCCCUAGCCCCGUGACUCCUAACCAGUUCCCUCCCACUCGAUCCGUAAGAGGGGAACACGAACCUAUAAUGUAGUCACUACACCCUUUUCUUUUAACAACCAAAAAUGAAGUAUUACCUUUGUGAUUCUUGUCCACAAAGUUGAUUCUGGUCAAAUAAAACCACCAUAAACAGAUAACCCAGUAUCUGGGCCAAAUUUUGCAACUAAACAUGGUAUUUUCAAUCAUUGAAUAAGAGAAGGUUUCUUAGGAAAUAGGUAAAUUGCCUUCAAUCAGAAAACAUAUUCUUCGGCGCAAUCUAGUGGCCAUAUGUUUAUUUGUGAGUGUUUGGCUUGGUGCAUUCGAAUAUAUUUGCCCUGAAAUUUAAAUAGAGGUGUCAAGUGUCAAAAUUGUAAGAUAUCUACCUUUAUUUGUGUCUCAUAGUAAGACAUCGCUCCCAAAUGAUAACGACCAACUGAUAAUUAUUUCAGGUGGAAAUGUUAUCUUCCACUUAUGCUGUGUUCCAUGGCUUUAUUCACUUUAACCAAGUAUCAUCCCCAUUGAAUAUUUCACUUGCACAACAAUCAUUCUUUUGGCACAAAGAUGACGUUAUCGCCCUUGCAGUUGUGGAGAUAUACUCUAUUUACUUUGGGUAUGUUCUUUCUUGAAAAAAACUUUUCCCCUGAUAUCGAAAGUGGUAUAGAAUAUCGAUAUUUUUCCAACUAUAGUGUCAAAGUUAGAAAAUCCAGUAUCGUGACUGACAACACUACUAGAAACGCGAUUGUGAUUAUUCAGUUAGAGCUACAAGAAACGUGAAAGUUGAAAAAGACAUAUCUUUGCUACUACCUCUGACAUUUAGUUAAGUACAUUUGCAUGAAAUCAUGCAGGUCUAUAACUUGGCGAUAGCUUUAAUAGGUUGCAACGGUGGACUGAAAUCACUUCAUGGCACGAUGUGACCGCUCGAUAAAUAAGUAAACAAAGGGAAGUUUGUUAUUUUUUUUGAUAUGUGUGGAAGCUAACAUUCAGCUUCAGUCUGAGCUAGGAUGAUUUUUCUGAGCCCCCCCAAAACCAGGCCGCAUGCCUGGCAAAAAGAGGCCUGUUCAAGAUUCUGAUUAUAAUUUGGGCAAGUGAACAUCACAUUCGGGCAAGUUGAACCUGACCUGUACUUGCCCGAUGGGCAAGUGCUUUUGAAACCUUAAUGUCAACCCCUUCCUAUGCCACUAAAAGUGCAAGCAGGCCAAUGGCAACCGAGCACGCAGUCCUUCCUCCCUCACUUUAAAAACCACCUGCCGCCCACUGCUCGGAUAGAUAGAUAGAUAGAUAGAUAGAUAGAUAGAUAGAUAGAUAGAUAGAUAGAUAGAUAGAUUAGGGCUGUAACGAUACGUGUAUCGAAACCGAAAUCGCGACACUCAAAGCCACGAACCUGUCUCGCAGUGUGAGAAGGCAGAAGCGCGAUACGCCCUUUCUAACUCUCCGGUAAAAUUGUCAGAUUGAAAUUUGCUAAUAAUUUGUCUAAAUAAUAGUCUGCUGACACCGCCCCCUCUUGAGUGAGUGAGAGGUUGCGGGCGCAAUGCUUAGGCUGCUGGAAGUUGCUGCAAGGAACUUUUAUAAACGCAAUAUUGUUAUCCCGCAGUAAUCAGCUCGACAUCCCCAAAAUGUCAACGGCCCACCGGGAACUCUCCCGAUAACCACUCCGCCACCGUGUGUGCGUGUGUGGGCGCGUUAUUCGAUAGCCUAGUAAUGUGUAUAGGCCUACGUAUGGUAGGAAUAUUCAUACUGGUUUAAAUAAUAAAUGUUAGUGUUUCCCAUUUUUGCUGAGCAAGAGUUUUGUUCGAAAGUUCAGUGAUUGAAACAAAUAAAAGCCUGGGCUAUUGAAGUUUUACGGUUUUCUUGCUAUCGGCCAUGUUUGAUUGUGUUGGUUAUUUGUACUGUUAACCCGCAAACUUGCGUUAUGUUUAUCAGCUAUAGAGAUUAUGAUGACAGCUGAUCUAACGGGCGUGUGCAGGACCGAACCGCGCUGUAUGACCACUGUUGCACUGAGCAUAGACAGUAAAAAGUAUCUGAGAUGGUAGAGGGGUUGGAAACCAAUAAAUGAAAAAUGGCUAUUUAUUUCAGGUAGCCUAUUUUUACACCAAAAAAACAACGAGUUCCAAGCGCCCCCCC